rnacentral:rRNA from 1 species
CACCGCCCGUCACACCAUGGGAGUCAAUUGCUCCAGAAGUCGGCGCGCUAACCGCAAGGAGGCAGCUGCCCAAGGAGUGGUUGGUAACUGGGGUGAAGUCGUAACAAGGUACCC